GCCGAGAUAGCUCAGUUGGGAGAGCAGCAGACUGAAGGAAGGCAAGCCGGGUUCUGAAGGCCGAGCGUUCAAUCCGCUCUCUUGGCA